rnacentral:rRNA from 1 species
UACGUAGGGAGCAAGCGUUGUUCGGAUUUACUGGGCGUAAAGGGCGCGUAGGCGGCCAGCACAAGUCAGUUGUGAAAUCUCCGAGCUUAACUCGGAAAGGUCAACUGAUACUGUGCGGCUAGAGUGCAGAAGGGGCAACUGGAAUUCUUGGUGUAGCGGUGAAAUGCGUAGAUAUCAAGAGGAACACCUGCGGCGAAGGCGGGUUGCUGGGCUGACACUGACGCUGGAGGCGCGGAAAGCUAGGGGAGCGAACGGG